rnacentral:lncRNA from 1 species
UUCUGGAUAUUAGCAUCUACAUUUUUAACAUGAAAGUUUUAAAUUAUAUGAUCUCCAAAGUCACUUUCUUUCUAAGACUGUAUGACUUUGUUAUUCUAAGGAAAUUCCAAAAUACUUGCUGUACAGUGAGACCAGGAAUGAUAACUCUGGGAAAAGGAAAAUCAGUGAAUAAAGAGGUAGAUUUAUUUAGAUGAAAAUACGUCAUCACAUAACAUAGUGUACCAUAAAAAGACUUUUAUGCUCCUACUGUUGCCUAAGAAGGGGGUAUUAAUUGAAGAACUCUUGGGAGAAUAGGAUUUUGAAACUUUACUAAGAAGAAUGUAAAACUUCUUUCUUACAAAACCAGUAAGUUCAGGGUAGAAUUAUCCUCUUCAUUAUCAUUUUGAUACUGGUUUUAGCAGUACUAAUUAGAUCUUGGUUAUGUAUUUAUUAAUUUAAUUUGAUACAUAGAUGAUUGUGAAUUUUUUUCACUUCAAAACUCACAGACAACUUCAACUAAUGUUGAAUGCCAAAGUGUAAACGUUGAUCGUGUGACAAAUGUAAAUUGAUUCAUGAGGAGAGACUGUGGUUUGGUGCAAAGAAAGUGUUCUGGAAUUGGAAGAUCUGGAUCAGACUCAGGCUCUGUCAGAUAAUGGCUGUAUCAUCUUUGAAAAGCAAAACAAUCUACUAAUGAAAUCAGAAGGAUUUCCAGUGAUGCUGCCCACAUUUCUGUGAAAAAGAGGAAGUUUUUUAAGUCAGAUGGAAGUUACACUUUUUCAAAAAAAAAAAUAUGCAGGGAAGAAUAACUCUCUCUCAUCAAUGUGGCAUUCAGACUCAGACUGGAAUUACGCUGCCGGCUUUCCUGGGUCCUCAGCUUGCAGAGGGCAGAU